rnacentral:rRNA from 1 species
GAUGAACGCUGGCGGCGUGCCUCAAACAUGCAAGUCGAGCGGGGCUAUGUAAUAUCGCAAGGUAGAACAUAGCCUAGCGGCGAACGGGUGAGUAACACGUGGGUAACCUGCCUGGAAGACAGGGAUAACGAUUCGAAAGGGUCGCUAAUACCUGAUAAUAUCCUUUCAUCGCAUGGUGAUAGGAAGAAAGGGGAAACCCGCUUUCAGAUGAGCCCGCGUCCCAUUAGCUAGUUGGUGGGGUAAAGGCCUACCAAGGCGACGAUGGGUAGCCGGCCUGAGAGGGUGGACGGCCACACUGGGACUGAGACACGGCCCAGACUCCUACGGGGGGCAGCAGUAGGGAAUCUUCGGCAAUGGGCGGAAGCCUGACCGAGCGACGCCGCGUGAGGGACGAAGGCCUUCGGGUUGUAAACCUCUGUCUGGGGGGACGAGUAAGGACGGUACCCCCGGAGGAAGCCCCGGCUAACUACGUG